AGCGAACGCUGGCGGCAGGCCCAACACAUGCAAGUCGAACGGAUCCUUCGGGAUUAGUGGCGGACGGGUGAGUAACACGUGGGAACGUGCCCUUUGGUUCGGAACAACUCAGGUAAACUUGAGCUAAUACCGGAUGUGCCCUUCGGGGGAAAGAUUUAUCGCCAUUGGAGCGGCCCGCGUCUGAUUAGCUAGUUGGUGAGGUAACGGCCCACCAAGGCGACGAUCAGUAGCUGGUCUGAGAGGAUGAUCAGCCACACUGGGACUGAGACACGGACCAGAAUCCUACGGGAGGCAGCAGUGGGGAAUCUUGCGCAAUGGGCGAAAGCCUGACGAAGCCAUGCCGCGUGAAUGAUGAAGGUCUUAGGAUUGUAAAAUUCUUUCAGAGGGGACGAUAAUGACGGUACCCGCAGAAGAAGCUCCGGCUAACUUCGUG
rnacentral:rRNA from 1 species